UAGGGAAUCUUCCGCAAUGGGCGAAAGCUUGACGGAGCAACGCCGCGUGAGUGAUGAAGGUCUUCGGAUCGUAAAACUCUGUUAUUAGGGAAGAACAAAUGUGUAAGUAACUAUGCACGUCUUGACGGUACCUAAUCAGAAAGCCACGGCUAACUACGUGCCAGCAGCCGCGGUAAUACGUAGGUGGCAAGCGUUAUCCGGAAUUAUUGGGCGUAAAGCGCGCGUAGGCGGUUUUUUAAGUCUGAUGUGAAAGCCCACGGCUCAACCGUGGAGGGUCAUUGGGAACUGGAAAACUUGAGUGCAGAAGAGGAAAGUGGAAUUCCAUGUGUAGCGGUGAAAUGCGCAGAGAUAUGGAGGAACACCAGUGGCGAAGGCGACUUUCUGGUCUGUAACUGACGCUGAUGUGCGAAAGCGUGGGGAUCAAACAGG
rnacentral:rRNA from 1 species